GCCGAACAGAAACCGAACAUUUUGCUCGCAGCUGCAGCAGUUGUAGCGCUGACGAGCUCAACGCUCAACUGGCACUAUCAUUGGCGUUUUAACUGUGGACGGUUGCUACUCGCACACGCUGGCGGAUUAACGGCACAUAUAUAUUUAUAAAAAUAUAUAUAUAAUGUAUAUGCACUCAUAUAUAUAAAGAAAGUUAUGUGCAUGUCUGCGUAGAGAAGAAGAAGAAGAAGAGGAAGCUGAAAAGCAGCGUUCAAGAAAAUCCAUCUGUAUGUGUGUUGUUGUUGGUGCGCCGCUGUGGAAAAUACAACAAAUUUUCAUGUAUUUACACAAAACUAACCAAAUAAAUUUAGCGCAAAUCUUAACACAAUACUGCUACGAACAUUCAAACAAAAACCCCAUUUAAAAAUGUUGUACCAACGCAGUUGAUUAAGACAAAUAUAAAAAAAAAAA